rnacentral:rRNA from 1 species
GGACGAACGCUGGCGGCGUGCUUAACACAUGCAAGUCGAGCGGUAAGGCCCUUUCGGGGGUACACGAGCGGCGAACGGGUGAGUAACACGUGGGUGACCUGCCCUCAGCUCUGGGAUAAGCCUGGGAAACCGGGUCUAAUACCGGAUAUGACUCCAUGACGCAUGUUGUGGGGUGGAAAGCCUUGUGCGGCUGAGGAUGGGCCCGCGGCCUAUCAGCUUGUUGGUGGGGUGAUGGCCUACCAAGGCGACGACGGGUAGCCGGCCUGAGAGGGCGACCGGCCACACUGGGACUGAGACACGGCCCAGACUCCUACGGGAGGCAGCAGUGGGGAAUCUUGCGCAAUGGGCGAAAGCCUGACGCAGCGACG